UACGUAGGGUGCAAGCGUUAAUCGGAAUUACUGGGCGUAAAGCGUGCGCAGGCGGUUUUGUAAGUUUGUCGUGAAAUCCCCGGGCUCAACCUGGGAAUGGCGAUGAAGACUGCAAGGCUAGAAUCUGGCAGAGGGGGGUAGAAUUCCACGUGUAGCAGUGAAAUGCGUAGAGAUGUGGAGGAACACCGAUGGCGAAGGCAGCCCCCUGGGUCAAGAUUGACGCUCAUGCACGAAAGGCGUGGGGAGCAAACAGG
rnacentral:rRNA from 1 species